GGCAUUUUUUCGAUAUCUCAUCAUCGUGACCGAUCGCCAGCACCAGCGCAUCUACGACAACCUGUAUAACACUACGGUGCCAACUGCGCAUGGAUCCGACACGAUGAACUCGUAAACAUUUGUCAAUUCACGCAUCGAUUUUCCUUCGUGUGCAAUGGAAUAUUAUCAUCGAAUAUUUUUAUUCUCCGCAGCUCAUAUAGAUUACAUUGAUUACAGCACAGACACAGCAAAAUUGAAGGUUUAUGGAUGCACUCUCAAUUAUGUUGAUUUGAUUUAAGCACUGAAGUUCGUUUCUCUACGAUAUAUUUUAUGUCAUAUAUAGUUAAAAUUGAGACGAAACCAUGCUUAGGCGGAAUGUUAGUAUCGGCGAUUAUCGUGACAACAAUAUUAAAGCCAUGGAAUUAUGUUGCUGAAGUGAUAUUUUAUGAUUAGAGUGAACUUCCGAU